rnacentral:lncRNA from 1 species
UACAUAUUCUCUGAGUUUUUCCCCCAAUGUUGCAGACCUGGGCCACCGAGGACGCCUACAAGGUGAUAAACAGGGAGAGACUUUUUAAAAGAGAUUUAUGAUGGGCUUAGUUUCCCUGUUGUCAAGCUUACCACUUUCAGCCCAACUCAUUUUGGAUUGGUAGGGAUCUGACCAUGGGGUUCUGAUAAAUGUGUGUUUAUCAUUGUGAAUUUAUGCUUGCUUCAGUGUCAAAAAGGAAAAAAAAAACUAUUAAAAAGUGAUACACUUUGAGCAGUGGCUCGAUCCCUGAUUAUGGCCCUUCCUGGCCAUCCCAUUUAAUUUCUGGCUGGCCCAACUAGGGACAUUAAGAGCUGCCCCUUCCGAGGCUGGGUGUUCUGUGCAUUGCACUGUACUCAGAGCAGCUCAGCCCGGCUCCUUCCAUAGGUCGGUGACACCCUCGAGCUUAUAUCACCUCGAGCUGUGUCACCACAAAUCUUAAAAGAUGCAAUUUUCUCGGCAGUUUCAUCCUUCUCAGAUGAAUCAGAGGGUGGGAGUGAAGGCCAGGGCUCUAAUCUCCGUGUUAGGACCAGGAAGGGUGGACACCCCUGUCCUCCCUCACACACCUUCAGGGAGACCACUGCCUGACAGCUCUGAGAGGAGGGUUGCUUCAUUCAGUGGUCCUAGCACAUGCUGGAACCUGUGUGUGUGUGUGUGUGUGUGUGUGUGUGUUUGUAUGUUUUUGUUUUGUUUUAAAACCUUUUAAAAAAAAUUUAUACUGCUGAUCCUUAUAAGCUUCCUUAAAUCCUUGCUAAAAGCAGUCCAAGUAUAUGUAAAUGAACAAAUUAAAUAAUGUAACAACUGAAGGUAAACAGCUUUAUCUGGAGCUAAAUGGAAUUUAAGAGUUGAUCUAAUCCAACUCCCUUAUUUUACCAAUGAGUACAGGGAGACUCAGCAUUGUUUAAAAAAAUUUUUUUUAAUUUUUAAAUUUUAUUUAAAUUCAAAUUAAUUAACAUAUAGUGUAGUGCUGAUUUCAGGAAAAGACUCAGUAUUGUUAAGGAAGGCAAAAAACCAUCCUUAUUUGCCUGGCACUGAGAAAUUUCUAGGGACAUGGGACUUCCAGGGCUAAAAUCAGGACUAGUUAGUCAUCCUGCUGGGUUAAGUGAUUUUCCUUAAGUUACACGGCAGUUAAAUGGCAGGAAUGGCACCAGAGCCCAAGCAUUUGGCCCUGUAAUACAACACUCUUCCCUUAUUAAAUGGCCUUUUAAAAUACAAUUUUAGGAAAGCAAGAGAUAAAAAUGUGCAUCUAGGAAUAAUUUGAGGUCCAUUCCUUAAUUUUUAUGUUUAAUUUUUUUUCUUUCUCUUCUAGGUUUCAAAACUAAACCUUUUGGGUUUUCAUAGGGAGUUGUACUUGACCUUUUCUCCUGUGCACAGUUGUGUCCAUAGCUAGAAAGUUCUAAACUCUCCCUGAAGAUAAACCCCUCAUCCUCACAGCUUCCUUCAGACAGGUGCAGCUGAGGAUGAGCUUCUUCAGAAUGAGAAAAGAAAUUUCCCUUCGUCUCACUACUCCAAGCCUCCCUGUUUCCCAGAGCAGAAGCUGACAGAGAACUUAGACUCACAAUGGAGCUAUACAAAGUCAUGUGAUCUCCUAUGUCUUUUUUCCAAUAUAAUACUGCUCAUUUUGAAGAAAUAAAACUAAAAAUAUCUCCUUCCACUUGUUUUACUUCCUCAGCCCGAUUAAGAGACUGAAAAUUACCUUCAGUGAUACUCUGAGCUAAACAACAGCUUUUACAACUUACUGUGGAAGCAGAUUCUGAAAAAUUUUACAUUCUCAGCUUAUACCUUAUUGGUCCAACAUCCAAUAAUUUAAACCAGUGUUAAGCAAAACUUUGCACAUUUAAAAAUGGAAAUCUAAUUCGUUUUCCUGCCAGUUUGGAGAAGGAAAUGAAAAGAAAAGUGCAAGAUAACUAGGGGAACAGAGACUAUUCUAACUCCUCCUCGGUUACAGGGCUCCUCUGGGUACAGAGCACAGUGAUCCUGUGUCCAAGCUGAUGACCAGAAAUACACAGGAAUCCUUAGCAAUGGCACCUCUGGCCUCUGUAAGGAGGCCGGGCAGUGUCCUGCUCCUACCAUGGCUGGCUGGGUGCCUUGGCUACUUUCCAAAUUUUAUAGCUUUAAUAGAAGGUACAAACAAUAUU